UGUCCACACCGCACGUCUAGUCAUGUGAGUCGGCAACACCCGAUGCCUGAGUCCUAACCCUUGUGGUAGGAGCCGCCGCAGGUGGGAUCGGUGAUUAGGACUUACUCGUAAUAAGGCAGCCGUACCGGAAGGCGCUGCGCGAUCACCUACAUACUACGGAG
rnacentral:rRNA from 1 species